AUUGUGGAUAAAAAUGGCUUCAGUUGAACAAUCGGUCUUUACAACCCUGAUCUUUAUCAAAAAAUUUGUUUCUGUUAAAGGAAAGUGAAAACCCAAUACUAUUAUUUCAUUUUGUUUCGAAUUGGGUUUUCUUAGCAUUGAGUAUGUACUUCUGGUUGUCUUAAAGAUAGUCCUCAGCUACGUCAAUAAUGUGAAAUCCGGGUGGAAAAGUGUUCAUAUGGUUUAGAGAUCUUUUUUCAUAAUCCGAAUGCCAAAAUAACCAAGAGUAUAAAUAAAGUCUUCAUGGUUGCUGCGGCAGAUGAAUGUAAGAUAUAGUAUUAUUGGAUUUUGAAAUGAUGGAGAAAAUAGUUCGAGAUUAUAUAGGAGAUUUAAUAAAUUUAUACAAGAAAUGAUUAAGGAAUCUUAUCGGCGUCGAGUUAUCAGGGUACUGAUUUGUAAACAAAUCUAGAGACAAAUGCAGGUUUUGUUUGAUGUAUGGAGUGGAUGAUAGCAUACUGUUGUUACUUAAUGUUUUAAGCAUCGCUUUAUGGACGAGUUGAGGCCUGUUUCGUAGGAUUUUAUUCUUUUCCGUUUGAUCAUGUAGGGGACUUCUUAGAAAGCUCUAUUUUCUAGAUGUUUUUUGGGGUUUUGAUUUAUUAGUACGUGUGGUAUGGUUCAUUGGAUUCCAGCAAAUUGGUUGUAUAUGGUCAUCAUAUCAAAGAGACAUAAAUAAUCAUAAGAAUUUUUUCCUAGGUGAUGAGGAUAAUGCAGAUGAAAUGGUUGCAAUAAUAUGGUAGCCUCGAUGAUGGGAUGGAGAGUAAGCAGAGUUUGCCGCUGUAGAUGAUGAUGAGGAUAAAAGGCUCUACUUUGAGACAUUUUUGUUGAUUUUAUUGUUGCUUGAGUUGAGUUAAGUUGCUUUAAGAAUUAUCCAAUUAUAGGUAUUAGUGAAGAGAACUAGGAUGGUUCUUUAGACUCUCAUUACGGGUUUAUAUUUGUACUACUAAAAAAUGUUCUAAUGGUAAAUGUUUGAUU